GACGAACGCUGGCGGCGUGCUUAACACAUGCAAGUCGAACGAUGAAGCCUAGCUUGCUAGGUGGAUUAGUUGCGAACGGGUGAGUAAUACGUGAGUAACCUACCUUUCACUCUGGGAUAAGCCCGGGAAACUGGGUCUAAUACCUGAUACGACCAAUCUCCGCCUGGGGUGUUGGUGGAAAGCGUUCUGUAGUGGUUAUAGAUGGGCUCACGGCCUAUCAGCUUGUUGGUGAGGUAACGGCUCACCAAGGCGACGACGGGUAGCCGGCCUGAGAGGGUGACCGGCCACACUGGGACUGAGACACGGCCCAGACUCCUACGGGAGGCAGCAGUGGGGAAUAUUGCACAAUGGGCGCAAGCCUGAUGCAGCGACGCCGCGUGAGGGAUGACGGCCUUCGGGUUGUAAACCUCUGUUAGCAGGGAAGAAGAGAGAUUGACGGUACCUGCAGAGAAAGCGCCGGCUAACUACGUG
rnacentral:rRNA from 1 species